rnacentral:tRNA from 1 species
GGGGAUUUAGCUCAGUGAUAGAGCGCUUGCCUAGCAAGUGCAAGACCCUGGGUUCGGUCCCCAGCUCCG